AAUCUGCCUAUUAGUGGGGGACAACAUCUCGAAAGGGAUGCUAAUACCGCAUACGUCCUACGGGAGAAAGCAGGGGAUCUUCGGACCUUGCGCUAAUAGAUGAGCCUAAGUCGGAUUAGCUAGUUGGUGGGGUAAAGGCCUACCAAGGCGACGAUCUGUAGCGGGUCUGAGAGGAUGAUCCGCCACACUGGGACUGAGACACGGCCCAGACUCCUACGGGAGGCAGCAGUGGGGAAUAUUGGACAAUGGGGGGAACCCUGAUCCAGCCAUGCCGCGUGUGUGAAGAAGGCCUUAUGGUUGUAAAGCACUUUAAGCGAGGAGGAGGCUACUUUAGUUAAUACCUAGAGAUAGUGGACGUUACUCGCAGAAUAAGCACCGGCUAACUCUGUGCCAGCAGCCGCGGUAAUACAGAGGGUGCAAGCGUUAAUCGGAUUUACUGGGCGUAAAGCGCGCGUAGGCGGCUAAUUAAGUCAAAUGUGAAAUCCCCGAGCUUAACUUGGGAAUUGCAUUCGAUACUGGUUAGCUAGAGUGUGGGAGAGGAUGGUAGAAUUCCAGGUGUAGCGGUGAAAUGCGUAGAGAUCUGGAGGAAUACCGAUGGCGAAGGCAGCCAUCUGGCCUAACACUGACGCUGAGGUGCGAAAGCAUGGGGAGCAAACAGGAUUAGAUACCCUGGUAGUCCAUGCCGUAAACGAUGUCUACUAGCCGUUGGGGCCUUUGAGGCUUUAGUGGCGCAGCUAACGC
rnacentral:rRNA from 1 species